UGCAAAUGAGAGCAGGCAGAGCUUGAGUAG
rnacentral:piRNA from 1 species